GUCUAUAGCCAUACCACCGUGAACACACCCAAUCUUGUCUGAUCUCGGAAGCUAAGCAGGGUGGGGCCUGGUUAGUACUUGGAUGGGAAAGGGACCCAAGGGAGGGAUAGGGU
rnacentral:rRNA from 1 species